CAAUUUGCCAAUUACAGUUCAAGUUCUCCUACCUGGUUCCCGCAGGGUUUCUGCUAGGAGGAUUCUGCUCUGAAUGGCUAUUGCUGACUCCUGGAAUGCUGUUUGGAAAAGACUACGGAGAGAGUGAUUCUUCAUCAGUGAUUAAGCAUCUUUUCAUGAUUAAUGCAGAGCUGUGAGAAGACAGAAGCAGUGGAAUGACACCACAACAUCUGUGCAUUGAGAAGGGCACUCUGCUGCGGCAUGGCAAUAAAGAAACUGAGGCUCAAUGAACUUGUAACGCUUUAGUGUCAGAGCUCUAGAAUGGGUGAAGGCCAGAUUCAGACCCAGGCAUCGUGACUCCCAAGUCUGCUUGUGGAUCCUUGAAAGCAAGGGUGAGCCAUAAGCAUUGCACCUUUGAGAGAACUGUCUUGUGGUGAUCACUUAGCUGCUGACAUGGUGGGAUGGAGGAUUCCAGAAUGCGUCAUGACUCACUGCCAUUGUGUUUACAGACUUACAGCAUACCAUGAAGACUCUACAUUAAAGCCACUUCUUAAAGCAAAUGCCAUGUCCUACAGUGCCAUCUGCAGAGAAGCAGUUUGCACUUGACAGAAAUCAAGGUCUUCUAAGCCCCAAGUUAAAGAACUCUAUUCAGCCGGGCGCGGUGGCUUAUGCCUGUAAUCCCAGCACUUUGGAAGGCCGAGGCGGGCGGAUCAUCUGAGCAGUCUUCAUCGCUUUGUGGUAUCUAUGUGAACAGUUGUGUCCUCGCUAAGAGAGUGUCCAAUUACACGCACGGCAGGGAAAAGCAAGAGAUCAGCAGUUGACUAUGCUUUUGUCUAAGGACAGGUAAAUGGAUGCCAAGACAACAGAGAAACAGGAAUCUUUUUGUGUAGUUAUAUAUUAAUUUGUUUGCAAUAUUGGCUUGCAAAUAGAAGGCCAGAGAGAGAUCCAGCACCACAGGGAUUCAAAUCUCCGUUGACAAGUGUUUAUAAAUGACUCGCAACCAGAACAUAUAUGUGGAAUCAGCACACAAAACUGGCAAGAGCACUGGUUCCGCUGCAGAAAUUACACACAAGAGGAGCUCUUUCUGUGUGCUUUCAUGCAUCAGUCUAGAGCCAGUUCUUCCUCAUUCACAUUGAAACGUCAGGUUCGGCCUGAAUAAUGUUUCCAUGCGGGCCUAAAAACUUCUGCAAAAAUUCGAUGGAAGUAAAAAUCACACAAGACCUCAUCACACUCCUCCAUGUGAUCUCAAUAUUUUUAAAGAAAAUAUUUAUAUACGUUUUAUUUAUAAACCACUAUUCUAAGACUUAUAAGUCUAUAAAGCUUCCAUUUGGGCAAAAAUGUAAUCUCCCAAGAUAUAGCAGCUCUCUAAGCUAAAAAUAAGAGAGAAUAUUUUUGAAGAGACAAGAGUCUCAGGUUCCUUGUGAGGGAACUCAAAAUAUUUCACCCCAAAAUAUGGCAAUCUGAGUGUUUUAAGUUAAAACCUCAUAGAGAUCAAUAAGCACUGGAGGAGAGUUUUCCCCUAUCAACAGAAAGACAGGACUGACUCACCCAGGAGAACAAUUGUUCUUGUUCCCCUCCCUGGUAUCUCAUUAUUCACUACAGGAAAGAAGACCAAAAAUGUAAGCAUACUUGAACAUACAUUUUUCAAGAUAAUGAGUGUCUCAAAUGAUUAUUUAAAUUCCAAAGAGAACUAUUUACAAGUUAAUUUCUGUUCCAGUUAUUUUCCUUAGUAAUCAUUUAUUGCACAUCAAUAGAAUUCCUCUUCCCACCCUCCCAUAGCCUGUUCUGCCAGGAUCCAAGCCUUCAUUCUUUCUGUAACCUCAAGAUGGUAUGUCAACCUUUGUACCUCAUUGGGAAGCUGGGUCUUCAUUUUGAA
rnacentral:lncRNA from 1 species